UCUGUCACAUGCGAGACCCGG
rnacentral:piRNA from 1 species